ensembl:lncRNA
CAAGGGCGGAGCCCGACCUCACAAGCACUUCCACCUGGCGUGCGGACUGCUGGGGCGCAAGCCCCGACCGGCCUCGGGACGGAGCGCAGGAUCCCGGCCGCCCGCGGCCCCCCCUCAGGCGCCGCCUACCGCAGCCCGGACAGCGCCCUCGCGGGUCGGCCUCGAUGGCCAGGAGCUGACGGAGUCGCCCCCUGGGCCGGCCGGCCGCAGACUCCCGUCAGCGGCGCUGCGGCCCCCGCCGACGUCCCCUUCCCACUUGUUCAGGGGCGUCCAGACCCUCUGAAUGGGGACGCCGACCCCGUGUCCAACGGCAGCCCAGGUGAUGUGCAACCUCAGGUGCAGCAGCCUGCCACCGUCGAUGCCCAUGGGUAGUCUCCCAGCUCCUCGCAGCCCGCCGAGCAUGUGCAGGGAGCCGGCCGCACACUGCUGACUGGAGACCGCUUGACACGCCCCCAUUUCUCUCGCCAGAGCGAGGCUCCGCGUGCCCACUUGCUGGCAGAGACAGGACAACCCUCAGGCCGCAGGUUGUUGGGGACUCUGGCCCCUGGGAACCUCAUCGAGCGCGGGCCUCGGCAGAGGGAGCUGCAGGGGGCAGCGCCUGCCUGGACCCUUGGCACUUCGUACGCAGUUCAGCACAGCCUCAAGGGCUAGGACCUGAAGGAGCCAACUCUGGUCCUGAUGACUUUUUGGUUCCUGGGAGCCCUGGCUACCUUUUGUUCGAAUUAGUUCGAGAGACUCCCUUGUAUCCGUCCGAAAUACUCGUUUUUCGUUAGCUAGUUUUGGUUCAGUAAAUAACACUGUCUUUAAGAAGACGAAUAAAGAGUUUCAGAACAUAGAUAUCUAAAUUAAUUUGCACUUCGAUUUUCUUUUGGUGAAAAAGAGAUUUAGUCUUGGAUUGUCACGUUAACAAGGAAGGCUUUUCACCAAAAGGAUCAGACUUCUGGAAAGAACUACAGGCUUAUGUGAUGGAGGAAAAGCAAGGAGAACUUGGAUGACAGCGUUUUGAAAGUUACUGGUGCUGCCAUCCUGACAAGUAUGGGGAUACGAAUCACCACUCUGAAGUUCCCAGGUUUGCUUCCAAUUUCCUCCCAAUGGACACUGUGAACUGGAAACCAUUAGUCUUUGCUACCACAAGUCAGCUUAGCAUGACAGUUUGCACAUUCUAGCCAAAAGUUUCACCAGGGUCCCUAAUGACUUAUUUAUACGUAGUCUGUCAAUUAAAUAUAGAACAUACUCUUUAUUUACUCAGUACAACUUUGUUUUUAGAUAUUAACUUGCCAUAAUUUGUGCAUCCCUUGCUUUCCUUUAAAGAUGAUCUUAUCCCUCCCUUGAACAAUCUCUGCUCAUCCCUCAUUUCUCAUUCUAGCUUGCCAAUGUGAGACAUAGUUGAGUUACUUUUGUUAUGUGACACACAUUUUUCCUUAGGUUUCUAAUAAGGUCAUUGUGGGUGACUGGAGGCUUCCUGUGUCCUAGUUCCUCUCUAAAUGAUUCCUAUUUCCUUUACUGAUUUAUGCCAAUAAGUGAGGAUAAAGAAAUAAGGGACAGAAUGGAAUUCUGAUACAUUAUAUAUAAUAUUCCAUAAAAUGAAAACUGAUGGGUCUACCCUUAAUUCUUUAAUUUUGUUAUUUCUUAAGAUCCUAGAAAUAUAAUUAAAGCGCAUACCAAUUGUCCUAUUAAUUCCAUAUAUUCAUUCUAGUAUUGCUUUUAAGCACAGAAAAAAAUUGGAAACAACCAAAAUGCACUAAGAUGGUAUAGUGACAUAAUUAUGGUAUGUCUAGAUAAUGUACUAAGCAGCUGUUAAAAAUUAUUAUUUUAGUCUGCAUAUUUUGACAUGAAAAGCUAUUCAUUAUAUAUAAUAAAGGAAAAACACAUUACACAGUUAGAUGUGGAGUAUGAUCU